UGGGUUUAGAACGUCGUGAGACAGUUCGGUCCCUAUCUGCCGUGGGCGUUGGAAGAUUGAAGGGGGCUGCUCCUAGUACGAGAGGACCGGAGUGGACGAACCUCUGGUGUUCGGGUUGUGUCGCCAGACGCAUUGCCCGGUAGCUAAGUUCGGAAUCGAUAACCGCUGAAAGCAUCUAAGCGGGAAGCGAGCCCUGAGAUGAGUCUUCCCUGAUACUUUAAGUAUCCUAAAGGGUUGUCGGAGACUACGACGUUGAUAGGUCAGGUGUGUAAGUGCUGUGAGGCAUUGAGCUAACUGAUACUAAUUGCCCGUGAGGCUUAACCAUACAACACCCAAGGGGUUU
rnacentral:rRNA from 1 species